rnacentral:miRNA from 1 species
CGUGCUCUGCUCUCUCCCCAG